AGAGUUUGAUCCUGGCUCAGAACGAACGCUGGCGGCGCGUCUUAAGCAUGCAAGUCGGGCGGCAGCCGCAGCGAUGCGGCGAGAGCGGCGGACGGGUGAGUAACGCGUGGACAACCGACCCUCCGGACGGGGAUAGCCGCGGGAAACUGCGGAUAACACCGGAUACGACCCGGGGAGCGAAGGCGCUCCGGGGGAAAGCCGCUGCGGCGGCGCCGGGGGACGGGUCUGCGUCCCAUCAGCUAGACGGCGGGGUGAAGGCCCACCGUGGCGACGGCGGGUAGCCGGCCUGAGAGGGUGGACGGCCACAUUGGGACUGAGAACGGCCCAGACUCCUACGGGAGGCAGCAGCUAAGGAUCUUCCGCAAUGGGCGAAAGCCUGACGGAGCGACGCCGCGUGGACGAUGGAGGCCGUGAGGUUGUAAAGUCCUUUUCCGUGGGGUGAAGAGCCGUGCCAGGGAAUGGGUGCGGGGUGACGUGACCACGGGAAUAAGCCCCGGCUAACUACGUGCCAGCAGCCGCGGUAAUAC
rnacentral:rRNA from 1 species